CAUAAAUACUGAAAUAGGUAAAAUAUAAUAAAAUUUCAUGAUAUGUGCUGCAACCAAACAUUACCAUAAACAAAUAGGCAUUCUAUGGGAUGCUUUGCAAGCGCUUGCACCACUCCCAUGAAUCUAGCUAUCGGACUGUGGUAUCCACUUGAAAACAGAGCAAUGGUCCAAAUUCCACGGCGAAGCUCAUAAUAGCUAGAUGGUCAGGGUUGUCCCAUCACUGCGGGGUUUUCCCAACAGUCCAUUCAUGCAGUGGCCCAUAAGAUCUACAUCCCCGGUCACCAUACAUGCAUAGAACUAAUAUGUCAAGCCGUUGCAGGGCUCGUGUUAGCUUCCCUUGCAUCGCACAAACAUGGAGUUGAGUUGCCAUUAGUGUUUUUCUCCCAUUACAAGCAUUGAUUAUUGAGUUGUAAGAUAUUUAUUCAGAAAAGGACAGAACUUUGCUGUAUUAAGCAAGUAACUGAUUGCAUUUUCAAGACUGUCCUUUUCAUCUCUAUGGGCCAUUUUGAGAAAUUUCAUUUUCAUUAUUGGACAGCGGAAAUUUCCUUGCUCAUGUGUCUGGAAAAUAUGAUUGCUUCUUAGUCUAUUGCUUCUUAGCUAAAUUGCAAAUCCAAAGCUCAAGUGAAGUAUGUGGAUCAAAGGAAACUUGUGCAAUGAUCAGAACGAGUGAAGUCUGUGGAUUUGCAUCCAGUAGAACCAUGCUCGCUCUCUGUAUUUGCACUGCAUCCUUUAUAUUUCAGAGUACCAGCACUUUCAGAAAAUAUGCCAGAGGAUAUUAAGCAAGAAAUCUUGAAGGAAAAAAGAACGGCUAGAUGGAAAGGUAUUGCCUCCUGCAAAAUAGAGAGAAAUGUAAAGGAGAUUGGUGCAAAGGGAAGAGGAUCUUUGUAGCACGUGUCAGAUUUGGGAUAUUCAUCAGUUGGGGACCAGACUCACCAAGAAAAGAAUGAUGACCUUUUCUUUGUAUUCUCAGCAUUAUUGUAAUU